AUAAAAAUAUACAGCAACACUCAUAUAAUCGCAGGGAUAUGGCCUGCAAGUUUCUACCGGAUUACCGUAAAUAAUCUGACUAUGAGUGAGUCAUAUAUACUU
rnacentral:ncRNA from 2 species